GUUAUACUCCCUCCGAUCCAUAUUAAUUGUCGAAAUAUUACAUGUAUCUAGACGCUUUUUAGGCAUAGAUACAUCCAUAUUUGGACGAAUUUGAGACAAUUAAUAUGGAUCGGAGGGAGUACCUU
rfam:Brachypodium distachyon strain Bd21 chromosome 2, whole genome shotgun sequence.